rnacentral:rRNA from 1 species
UGGGGAAUAUUGCACAAUGGGCGCAAGCCUGAUGCAGCCAUGCCGCGUGUGUGAAGAAGGCCUUCGGGUUGUAAAGCACUUUCAGCGAGGAGGAAGGUGGUGAACUUAAUACGUUCAUCAAUUGACGUUACUCGCAGAAGAAGCACCGGCUAACUCCGUGCCAGCAGCCGCGGUAAUACGGAGGGUGCAAGCGUUAAUCGGAAUUACUGGGCGUAAAGCGCACGCAGGCGGUUUGUUAAGUCAGAUGUGAAAUCCCCGGGCUCAACCUGGGAACUGCAUUUGAAACUGGCAAGCUAGAGUCUCGUAGAGGGGGGUAGAAUUCCAGGUGUAGCGGCGAAAUGCGUAGAGAUCUGGAGGAAUACCGGUGGCGAAGGCGGCCCCCUGGACGAAGACUGACGCUCAGGUGCGAAAGCGUGGGGAGCAAAACAGGAUUAGAUACCCUGGUAGUCCACGCUGUAAACGAUGUCGAUUUGGAGGUUGUGCCCUUGAGGCGUGGCUUCCGGAGCUAACGCGUUAAAUCGACCGCCUGGGGAGUACGGCCGCAAGGUUAAAACUCAAAGGAAUUGACGGGGUCAUAGCUGUUUCCUG